AAAGAACACCAUGCUGUCAUCUUCUGAGGAGAGAUGGGAGUCCAGGCCCCAUUCUCUCACUUACUACCUAUAUUAAAGAAGCUGAAGAAAGCUGAAGAAACCACUCUCUCCUGUGAAAUGCCAUUGGAACUCUGCUUAGGAAGAGGACUAACUUUGCAAAAAUAUCCUGCAAACCUGCUUAUAAUAGAUGAACCUUGAGGGCAGGGGUCAAAAUAUCAGAGGACAGGGAUGAACUAGAACUACUCUGUCUGAAAAGAGAAGAGGUGGUUUCAUUUUUCUUUUUCUUUUCUUUUCUUUCUUUCUUUCUUUCUUUUCUUUUUUUUUUUUUUGAGACAGCAUCUCCCUUUGUUGCCCAAGCUGGAAUGCAGUGGUGUGAUCACUGUGGGCUCAACCUCUUGGGCUCAAGCGAUCCUUUCAUGUCAGCCUCCUGAGUAGCUGGGACUACAGAUGGGGAGACUGUGGCUCAAUGAGGUCAAACAAUUUGCAGUCAGGGAGUAGGGAUGCUUUGAAUAUGGCCAUCAUCUCACUGGCUCACUGUGGGGGAGUGAUGCCAGGAGGACUUCUGUUCCACCAUCUUGCUGAUGUUACUCUCCCUCACUAAAACAUUGUGUGUGCAACUAGGGUCAUCUGGGCAGCUGAAAAAAAAAGUCAAAGAAAAACUAAGGCCUUCCUUUCCUAUCACCCAUCAAUGUUGGCAGAGAUGGAAAAAACAGGCACCGUUUAGGUGCUGGGAAUGGAGCAGUGAACCACACUGACAACAACUCCCUGCCUUCAUAGAACCUGCCUUCUAGAAAGGGAAGACAGAGCAAAAAAAAAAUAAACUGGAUCAAAGCUAUACUCAACUUCAAGAUGACUGUUCACUGAGAAAUGUGAAAUUAAUAUGAAAUAUGAAAGAAAACUCUUACUAUGUAAAUGAAUCACAGAAUCCAAGAAAGAUGUGCCGGAUGGGAACUAGAGGUCAUCUAGAUUGCAUUCUGUCUAAUCAGAUCAUAUGAAGAUUAGUGUAACAGCCUGGACCCUUUGUCAUUAAAGCUAUUUGACAGAAAGCACCUCAGUGGUUCAUGACUUCCAAGCAAAAUG
rnacentral:lncRNA from 1 species